rnacentral:rRNA from 1 species
UACGUAGGGUGCGAGCGUUGUCCGGAAUUAUUGGGCGUAAAGGGCUCGUAGGCGGUCUGUCACGUCGGGAGUGAAAACACGGGGCUUAACCCCGUGCCUGCUUCCGAUACGGGCAGACUAGAGGUAUGCAGGGGAGAACGGAAUUCCUGGUGUAGCGGUGAAAUGCGCAGAUAUCAGGAGGAACACCGGUGGCGAAGGCGGCCUGCUGGGCAGUUGCUGACACUGAGGCGCGACAGCGUGGGGAGCAAACAGG